rnacentral:lncRNA from 1 species
CUGAGAAUGUUUGUUUCUGUGUCGGUUGGGUUAUGUGCAUUUCAUUUCUGUUUCUGCGUCUGUCCGAGAUGUUCGUUGUAUUCAAAAGUAUCUCUGAGUUAUCUCCGAGAUUUGCUUUGGUUUUUUGGGUCAUAGCCCUGUGGAGAUACAUACAUACAUAUGUAUGUUUAAAGCGACAAAAGUGUGUGCGAUCGUUAACUCACGAAAGAGAGACAAUAUCAUAUGAGAGAUUGAUAUUUGGGCAUCACCAUGAGUAGAGUGUUAGCAGAGAUUGAGAUGGAGUCUUGAAUAUAGGACCAAAAUUCCUUUAGGGUAUACUUAGACAGAUCAUGGAAAAUUAACCUAAAAGAACUCUGAAGUAUACAGAAGAACAUAAAUUAAAAACUUAAAAAACUCGAUCAUAUACGUAGGGGUUAGU